GACGAACGCGGGCGGCGUGCCUAAACAUGCAAGUAGAACGCUGAAGAGAGGAGCUUGCUCUUCUAGGUGAGUUGCGAACGGGUGAGUAAACGCGUAGGUAACCUGCCUUGUAGCGGGGGAUAACUAUUGGAAACGAUAGCUAAUACCGCAUAACAAUGGAUGACACAUGUCAUUUAUUUUGAAAGGGGCAAUUGCUCCACUACAAGAUGGACCUGCGUUGUAUUAGCUAGUAGGUGAGGUAACGGCUCACCUAGGCGACGAUACAUAGCCGACCUGAGAGGGUGAUCGGCCACACUGGGACUGAGACACGGCCCAGACUCCUACGGGAGGCAGCAGUAGGGAAUCUUCGGCAAUGGGGGCAACCCUGACCGAGCAACGCCGCGUGAGUGAAGAAGGUUUUCGGAUCGUAAAGCUCUGUUGUAAGUCAAGAACGAGUGUGAGAGUGGAAAGUUCACACUGUAACGGUAGCUUACCAGAAAGGGACGGCUAACUACGUGCCAGCAGCCGCGGUAAUACGUAGGUCCCGAGCGUUGUCCGGAUUUAUUGGGCGUAAAGCGAGCGCAGGCGGUUUGAUAAGUCUGAAGUUAAAGGCUGUGGCUCAACCAUAGUUCGCUUUGGAAACUGUCAAACUUGAGUGCAGAAGGGGGGAGUGGAAUUCCAUGUGUAGCGGUGAAAUGCGUAGAUAUAUGGAGGAACACCGGUGGCGAAAGCGGCUCUCUGGUCUGUAACUGACGCUGAGGCUCGAAAGCGUGGGGAGCGAACAGG
rnacentral:rRNA from 1 species